rnacentral:rRNA from 1 species
AACGAACGCUGGCGGCAUGCCUAACACAUGCAAGUCGAACGAGACCUUCGGGUCUAGUGGCGCACGGGUGCGUAACGCGUGGGAACCUGCCCUUAGGUUCGGAAUAACUCCCCGAAAGGGGUGCUAAUACCGGAUAAUGUCUUCGGACCAAAGAUUUAUCGCCUUUGGAUGGGCCCGCGUUGGAUUAGCUAGUUGGUAGGGUAAAAGCCUACCAAGGCGGCGAUCCAUAGCUGGUCUGAGAGGAUGAUCAGCCACACUGGGACUGAGACACGGCCCAGACUCCUACGGGAGGCAGCAGUGGGGAAAAUUGGACAGUGGGCGAAAGCCUGAUCCAGCAAUGCCGCGAGAGUGAUGAAGGCCUUAGGGUUGUAAAGCUCUUUUACCCGGGAUGAUAAUGACAGUACCGGGAGAAUAAGCUCGGGCUAACUCCGU